rnacentral:lncRNA from 1 species
CUCCAGAAAUUCUCCAUGCCCCAGAAGCAAGAAACCCUAGGGUUCUUGCCGCCAGGUCCAUAAAAGGCAGGAAAACCAAGGGGAGGCGCUACAUCCUCCCCCUUUGUGCCGCCAACCAGAUCUGCUCUCCCUCUCUUGUAGCCACCCAAGCAUCAGGUCCAGGACUUGAAAUCUCUUGAGAAGAGGUUGGUACAAGUUUCUCUCAGAUCUAGAGUUGAUCUGAGGUCGUUUGAGGUGCGGGUGAGAUCUCCAUCAACAGAUCUACAGGAAAGGCUGCAGCAGGA